rnacentral:lncRNA from 1 species
CUCAAAUGCAGAUUACUUGACUCCACCUCCUGAACCAGACUCUGCAGGCAGUGCUCUCGGAAUCUCCAGCUUCCCAAGCUUCCAGGUGAUUUUAUGAUGCUGAAGUUUGAGAACCAUGGAGGGCUAGGAAAAAGCCACCAGAUGGAGGAAAUUCACACAAAGUUUUGAGAGGCUAGUAACAGCGACUUUAAAAAGAGGAUGAUGAGGGCCGGCCUGGUGGCACAGGGGUUGAGUGCACCCGUUCCGCUUCGGCGGCCCAGGGUUGGCUGCUUCGGAUCCUGGGUACAAACACGGCACUGCUCAGCAAGCCAUGCUGCGGGAUCAAGUAUUACAGACAAGGUUGACUGGGCUGAGUGAGUCACCGUGAAUCCAGAUUCCCAGGCAACCUCCAAAUCAACAUACAGAUCAGGGCCAAGGCCCGAACCUAAAGGGUAAUAAGUUGGCAUUUUCCAAAGUCUGAAGUUCUGAGUAUUUUUCUAGACGCUGCCUCAGGGCUUCUGUGGCAGCAGCGCCACCCGGCCCCCGCCUCGCCCCGCCAGGCAGCGGUGUCAGCACUUUCAGAGGUUGUCUGCCGGGGACACUGACAGUAACCGUGUGGUCAGGAGGAAGAGUGUAGUGACUUUUAAUAAGACAGAGCAUCAUGAAAGAAACCCCACAGACACGAAGGGAAAUGCUUACCUCAGAAACUACCAGUGACAAACCUGUAUCUCACCUCCUUCUGGAUCAGAGUAUGCAGCCAGGAGCCGAAGGCCUGCUUUCAACAGCCAAAGGGUCCAAUGUACUCUGAAAAGUUUACCAACAUCGCCCCGUGGCUGCAGUGGUCUCCAGCCGUGCAGGGGAGUCGGCCAUCAGUGAGACCCCAACAAACUCACCCACCGUGAGAGGGAGGGAAACGGAGACAGCCUUCCAACAGCUCCACGGUAUUUCUGUAUCCAUCCUUGAUUCACCAAUUCCACCACAAGAAAUCCAUCUUAAGGACAUGCUCAUUCACAAAGUUAAAUAUGUAUUCAUACAGAAACGUCCCUGCAGAAUCGCCUACUGUAGCAAACAGUUAGAGAACAUCAACGCCUCUCCAUAGAGGGCCAGUCGAACUUUAUGGUGCGCUCACACCCUGGGCUUUGUGAUACAGAUGCUAUUAAGAUCUUCCUAUCGCAGACGGGAAAGUGAGGCACAGAGAGGUCACAUGGCUCCAAGUGACCAAGGCAGGCUCUGAACUCUGAGGUGCAUCUCUGAAGCCCUACGCUGCACUCCCUGUAUACAGCCAAGGUUUGGGGGAUUGAUAAAAUCUACUUUUUCUCUUUGCCCAAAUUUGGGACCAUUGAGAGAUGGACACAGAGACCAAGCUAAGAAAAUGUUAAUUUGAUUACUGAUAAAGCUGGACUGAAGGAUGGCUUGGGUUUCUAGGCAAGAAGUCUUGCGACCACUUCAUUUUUCAUGAGGUUGACUUACCCAGCCAGGCACUGCACUGCCCUGCGUCCGCAGGUCUCCUGGUGCGGCCAGGUCCUGUCCUAGAGGAGCAGGGCAGACAGCACUCCCAGACUUACCAGUCAGAUCAUUCUUCCUUUUCCCUGGAGGAGCAGUGGGUGUGAGUGAAGCAGGGUUUGGAGGCCAAGGACAUUUCCCUAAUGGAUGGGCUAUGCUGACAGUGGGCGUGUUCUCCCAACAUUCGGAUGCAUGCAUAAAGAUGGCUGUAAAACGAAUAAACGGAGGUAUGGGGGAACACAUGGAACGGGGCAACAAUCAAGUAAGAGGAAUGGUAAUGAUUCCGUGUUACAAUCCAAGAAUAGUAAUGUUUUUGGAGAAGACAGCUGAAUGAUGAUCAAUUUUUGAGAGACAAAAAAGAGCUUAAGUGAAGAGGUAGUCAAACCAGAUGCUUAAAUAAUUUUCUGAUGGUCGUCAUCAAGCACCAGUAGGAUGUCUGCCCAGAGUGGAGCGGCCAUGCGAGAACCCGACUGUGGAGAUCGUGCGAGUCACGUGUUACCCACUGUUUCUGACUCCAGCCUCGACUUCUCCCUCUCUUGGUGCACACGCCCAUUUGUGCAGACCAUCAUGUAAUAGCUGAUGAAAUGAAUGCCCAAAGGUGACACACCAGAGCAUUUUGGAGGCAGCGAAGAGCAGUGAAAAUUACCUCUUCCAACGCAAUACAGAGUGGGCUAUUUCUGAGGUGGCACCAAAGAAGUAAAAACUGAACCAUUUUAUUCUGAGAGAAAAGCACAGUAAGAUUCAACUUUGUGCCUCUAGAAACGUCUGGGGAAGACGCAGUCACUGGAAAGACACUCCUGACCAAACCGGCUUUCUCUGGCAAAUUGCUCGUCUUUCUAUCCCUUGGUUUCCUUUUGCGUAAAACACAGAUGUUACCUUUACACCUGCCUCAAGGACGUGCUAUGAGAAAGAGAAUGUCCUCACUGUGGAAUAAAAGUGGUUUUGGC